UCCAUAUACUUACUCCAAAACAAGCAGGAUUCAAUAGUAACUUUUAUUUUGGUUUCAGUCAAAAUUUACACAACCACAGAAUAAAAUAUCUACGUUCUAUAUAUGAAGGGAACCAAACUUGUAAUCAGACACUAACGCUCAAUUGAGUGGGAAAAUUUCACUUCAAGCUCACAAUUAAAAUUGGAUCCUGAGUUCCUGACCAGAGUAAAAAAACCUGUAAAUCAAUUUUCAUGUAAUUAACUGGAGUUGCAUACCUAUUGCACUGACUUAGGUGAUCAUCUAAAAUGCCAAAAAAUAUAUUCACACGAAGCAUAUCAUUUUUAGAAUCCAUAAGCAGAGUUCUGGAAGGUUCAAACUUACAUCUACUGAUUAUUUUCCCUAUGGCACUGACUUACAUUCAUAAUUUUUUUGAUGUAAUAUUACAUUCAUAAUUAUAUAAGAAAAGCAGAGAGAUAGGAAUAAGUGGUAUAUAAUCUAGAUUUUGGAAGCACUAAUUCAUUUACCAUGCACCAAUAUAGAAGCUGGCUGCAUAAACUCCAAACAGCAAGAAGAAGGUCCAGAGCGUGGGACGCCGCCGGCGGUGGUCAGGUGAUGGCCACCCCAAUCGUCACCUCCAUCAUUGAGCAGAUCUUCCACUCCGGGGAUCGACCUCCGGUCCUCCAUGCUUCAAGCAAGGAGAGAAUUGAGGACCAGGAAGAGGAAGAAGGAGAGAUAAAGAGCCAGGAGUUGGAGCCGUAGCUCUAGGAUGGGGAGAGAUCCAAAUGAACUCACCUCCUCGGCAUCUUCGUGGUAAUCCACCUCCUUGACUAGGCCAUCCACGCCGGUGCGCCGCUGAGGCUGGGCCAAGGCCGGUCCCACGCCGAAACCCUAGGUUGGCGUGGUGGCAGCGGCGGUGGCCGGCCGCCCAGGCUGAGGUGCCGCUCAGGAGGGGGAAACAUAGAUGGCGCUCAGCGGUGGUGACGUCGGCGUGUGGCGGAGGCGACGGCAGAGAGCGGCGCGGCGGAAAAUCCUAGAGGUGGUGUCUGAGGAUGAGGUCGAGAGGACGAGGAAGAUAUUUUUCUUCCUACCAAUGAAAUCGUCGUGGAUGGCCUAAGGAGCGGCCAGGCUCCGCACCAUUCUAUUUUUUUCACGAU
rnacentral:lncRNA from 1 species